CCUACGGGAGGCAGCAGUGGGGAAUAUUGGACAAUGGGCGAAAGCCUGAUCCAGCAAUGCCGCGUGAGUGAUGAAGGCCUUAGGGUUGUAAAGCUCUUUUACCCGGGAUGAUAAUGACAGUACCGGGAGAAUAAGCCCCGGCUAACUCCGUGCCAGCAGCCGCGGUAAUACGGAGGGGGCUAGCGUUGUUCGGAAUUACUGGGCGUAAAGCGUGCGUAGGCGGUGAUUCAAGUCAGAGGUGAAAGCCUGGAGCUCAACUCCAGAACUGCCUUUGAAACUAGAUCGCUAGAAGAUGGGAGAGGUGAGUGGAAUUCCGAGUGUAGAGGUGAAAUUCGUAGAUAUUCGGAAGAACACCAGNGNGAG
rnacentral:rRNA from 1 species